UGCUGUGAUGAUGAGACUAUAAUCUCGUUAAUCUGAUUUAACCAUGAGGAAAAACCCUCUGAUCCAUUCUUCACUGUCUGAGC
rnacentral:snoRNA from 13 species